GAAUUUUUAAGGACUCCUGGCUCAAGACCACAUGGUGGCCUAGUCUGUUCCUUCUCUUCUGCUAUUUUCCCUAAUAAAUAUUUCACAUUUAUAAACCCCACAUGAAGAAAAACCUGGGUGCACAGUAAGCUGUUCUCUGCUGGGUGAGCCACCAGCUGGCCCCACAUUUUAUCUAUUUUCUUUUUGGUUUGUUCGUUUUAACAUGGACAUCUUUUUAAAUUUAAAAACAGUCUCCGAAUGGGGAAAGAUCACUUUGCAAAGGCAAUUGUGGAAUUAGUCAUAGUUUUUGUAUGUUACAAAAAGAGAGAGAAUUGUUUUCACUUGUACUACACAGAGACUAUCAGAUUUCAUCGCCACUGUAUCAGGCCAAGUUAACUACGACUUUCCGGCACAGCCAACAAUUAGAGCAGCAAGAAGCUCCCCGACUGGCACUGGUCCCAACACUGCACUGCUCACCGCAGAGGGUGGGGCAGCUGGAAUCAAACAGCAGGUCAGAGCCACCAUGUUACAGUUGCUACUAUGAUGCCAUCCUACAACUCCCACCUUCUACACCCCAAAAAGAAUUCUGACCCAUACUCCCAGUGGGGGAGAAAUGUUAGGGGAAGAUGACCAGAGGACUCUGAACCCCAAUUCCAUCAGGACCUGAAUCUGGAAAAAGAA